rnacentral:misc_RNA from 1 species
GUGACUGUUGCAAAGAGCAUUGAAUUCAAGGACAAAGUCAAGAAUGUUGGUGCUAGCCUUGUGAAGCAGGUUGCAAAUGCCACCAAUGAUGUUGCAGGAGAUGGGACUACUUGUGCCACUGUUCUUACUCGAGCAAUAUUCGCGGAAGGAUGCAAGUCAGUUGCAGCAGGGAUGAAUGCAAUGGACCUAAGACGGGGCAUCAGCAUGGCUGUUGAUGCUGUUGUUACCAACUUGAAAAGCAGAGCACGAAUGAUCAGCACAUCUGAAGAAAUAGCACAAGUUGGUACAAUAUCUGCAAAUGGAGAGAGAGAAAUUGGUGAGUUAAUUGCAAAGGCCAUGGAGAAGGUUGGCAAAGAGGGAGUUAUUACAAUCCAAGAUGGGAAGACUUUAUAUAAUGAGUUGGAAGUUGUUGAGGGAAUGAAGCUGGACAGGGGUUACAUAUCCCCUUAUUUCAUAACCAACCAGAAAAACCAAAAAUGUGAAUUAGAUGAUCCUCUCAUUCUGAUCCAUGAGAAGAAAAUAUCAAGUAUAAAUGCUGUGGUGAAAGUAUUAGAGUUGGCUUUGAAGAGACAAAGGCCCUUGUUGAUAGUUUCUGAAGAUGUGGAAAGUGAAGCAUUAGCAACCCUUAUUCUAAACAAACUUCGCGCUGGAAUUAAGGUGUGUGCCAUAAAAGCUCCUGGUUUUGGAGAGAACAGGAAGUCUGGGCUGCAGGAUCUUGCUGUUCUCACGGGCGGUCAGGUGAUAACGGAAGAACUUGGCCUCAAUCUUGAUAAGGUGGAUAUAGAUAUGCUUGGCAGUUGCAAAAAGGUUACAGUGUCCAAGGAUGAUACUGUUAUUCUUGAUGGUGCUGGUGACAAGAAGGCCAUUGAGGAAAGAUGUGAACAGAUAAGGUCUGCAAUAGAGUUAAGCACUUCUGACUAUGACAAAGAGAAAUUGCAAGAAAG